rnacentral:tRNA from 1 species
GCCGGUGUUGCUCAGUGGAUAGAGCGUCGGCCUGGGGUCUGAAGGGUCCCGGUUCGAUUCCGGUCAAGGGCA